AAAGGUUUAGCUUAAUUAAAGUGUCUGGUUUGCAUUCAGUCGAUGUGAGGUAAUAGUCUUACAGCCUUUA
rnacentral:tRNA from 1 species